UCCUCUAUAGUAUAGUGGUGAGUACAAGCCUGUCAUGCACACAGAUCGCUUGGGACCCGGGUUCAAUUCCCGGUCGGGGAG
rnacentral:tRNA from 1 species